UCAUGACAUUAAUUAGAUGGACACCUCAGCAAAAAAAACUGACAUGACAAGCAAAUUAAUAGGAGAGAGGAGAGAAUCGUUUCUUCACCACGAAACGGGUCUGGCGUCGUUUCCAAGUCAAUGAAACGGAGGUGAAACGCGCACUGAGAGCUCCAUCGUUUCAUGGCGGGAUCCCGUGCGGUGGGAGGCCGCUCGCUCCGGCUUCCCGCGCUCCGCUCGGACGGUCGGACCUCUGCGCGCCAAAUCCUUCCCGCACGCGCCAAAGCCACCUCUUCUUCCCUUCCUCCAAGAUCCGCCGCCGCCUUUGCGGCUCUCAGACCGCCGCCGCCCUUCCCCUUCCCUCCAGAUCCGCCGGCGCCCCUGCCCGCCGCCGCUCCUACCAUUCACCUCCAGAUCCGCUACCGCCCCUGCCCUUCCUCCCACUGUCUGCGACGCCAUGUCCCGGCGGGGGAGAGAAGUCCCCCAGCUCAGCAGUAGCGGCAGCCCGUCCAAACGAAGCAGCGGCGGUACGAGAACUCCGGCGACUGCAGCUCCGUAGGCGUCUGCUCCUCCCGCGUCUGGUGCAGCUCCUCCCGCAUCGGCUGCACCUCCGCCGGCAGCAGCUUUUUGCUCCUGUACAAAAUUGGUACUAGAAGAUGCUGUUACUCCAAUGUUUUACUUGCAUUACUGUUUCUGCCACUAAAGAUUAUUCUCUGUAUGGUUCUCUGUAUGCUUUGGUGGUUUAGAUUUUGGUCGGCUAUGUUUUGAUAUCUGAAAAAGGAACAUGUAAUGUGCGAAUUACUUCAACGGUUUAUCAGAGCUUGUCAAAAUGAUAAUUUCAAACAUGGCUUGUUUAGAUAUUU